rnacentral:misc_RNA from 1 species
ACAAAGGGUUCUUGGCUUGCCAGGUACGUAACUAAAAUUUACCACAAUUUGAACUUGAGAAUGUUUAAUCUAUACAAAUUGGAUUGAAAUUAUGCAUUAUCUUCUUAGAAUUACUAUGCAAACAUCUAGCAAGACAAAAUUUCCACUAAGUUUCUCUUUUUUAUUCUUCUCCUCGGAAUAGGCUCAUAGAGUUUCUCACAAGU